AUUCCUACCUGGAUAUAAUCAGAGACUCAGAACACCACAGGCAGCCUUUCUCCACUGGAUUCCCAGAGGAACAGGGCCCAUCUACACCACAGGACCUUCAGAGAGAGAAAGAUUCGGGACUGAGACACUUUCAUGUCACCAAAGUCAACAGUGGGGAAAAGGAGCCUUUCUGCAAGAAUGUUCUAGGCAAUCUCCUCAGCAACAGGAGGUGAUGUUCAGGAACCAUUUCACCAGCCCAUGAGGAUACCUGCAUCCAGCUGAGCUGUGUCAAAACCACUUUCAUGCCUCUUAUACGUUUCUUUCCAUACUGCAAAUCCAUGUUAGGUUCAAGACUGCUUGAGAUGUCUGUGGCUGGCAAUGAACAUCCUACCCACAGCUGGUGCUUUAGGAGCCCUUUCUGCAGCACCUGCCUCUUUGGGACAGGGGCUGGGGCACACAGUAGCCCAUCACCUCAUUUUAACAGCACAGCUGAUAUCUUGGUGGACUAACUUCAGUAAUUUCACUGCAGGAGAGCUUUAAUUCUGACUAUUGUAAGAAUACAGACAAAUUUCUCACCCUGCUUCAGUCUGUGAACUGCAGAUACAUAUAUAGAUUGUUUGACCCUGGAUACAAAACCCACCACUUCCCUCUGUCUUUAUUCUUCUUGGAAUUUGGGAAAGUUUGCCCAGAAAGGGUAAGAAAACAUUCAGCUGCUGCAGAUCCUCCUAAGCCCACCAGCUUGUUUGUUUGUUUGUUUAAUUUGCUACAUAUGAUUAACUCCACUGAGUUUCUGCCAGGCAGAAUUUGCAACUCAAAGUACUCCAUGAGUGUGCUGCAACACUGCCAGGAAGUGAACACCCCCAGUCUUCAUAGUUGCUGUUUUUCUGUGGAAAAUGGAAGAAUAGAAACUUCCACUGGUGCUGAAGGGCUCAAUCUGCAGCCUUAGAAAGAGCUUAGGUUAAUUUACUAACAUCAAGUAGGAAAAUUAUAAACUAAUGUUCCUAUAGCUAUAAGUAAGAAUAUGUCUUGAGUAAGUAAGAAAUUAUAUUGGGUAAAAUAGUGAGAGGUUUGAGCUGUAAUAAUGGGAUUUAUAAGGUAGGCUAAGGAUCUAGAAGCUAUAAUAGAGGUGUGUGUGUGUGUAUGAGUACAUGACCUUCGAGGUUUUUGGCUGAAAGACACACACAGUGGGGAAGAAUUAGGCAAAAGUGAUCAGUUAAUAAGUAGAAACAAGUUUUGUGUUAACUGUCUAUUGGACCAAAAUGUUAUAUAUUGCUGUGUGAAGAAGAAACCCGUGGCUACCUUUAAGCUAUGGCUGACUUGUUGCUCCUCUCCAAAUCUCACACCUUCGAGACUGAUAUCUCACCUUCCUUACUUGAGCAAUAAAUCACCUUAAAUAGCAUGGUGGUCCCAUCCCUUGUUUUUCAUCUCGACAUUUUUCCAAAGAACAGGUAUGGCAGGCUAUAAAUGGAAAUCAGAAAAUGAGAUUUUCUUUGCCUGCUAGUUCUUCUCCUGGGAAUUUUAGUCCUUUCCUCUGUGCACAUGCUUUGGUUGUUAGUGGCAGAAAUUGGUAAUAUGGGUCUCUCAGAGCAUCAGUCACUGCAGCCUGUUCUGAAGCACUGCAGUGCCAGUGGACAUGGGAAAUCAUUCCCACUAGUACCAACAUCCUUUUUUUUUUUUGGAUCUAAAAUCACAUAGUAGAUCAAAACCAGAUCAGGAUAGCCUGAUUUACCCCAUGAUUCCAGUGACAGAUAAUUCAAAAUUAAGGUUUACCAAGUAAUUAAGGUAUUUCCCAGCUACCUGCACUUCAUUUUCCAAUAGUGGUAAUCCAUUUGCAGCUCUCAGCUUUGCAGAUUGCCUGUCACCUCCAGUGGAUGAUCAAAGUCUAGCCAUGAAUGCAGGCAUUCUGGACUUGCAGUCCUGUCAAUAUCAGGGAUGUCAGGCCUUGCCUUCAGUUUAUAGCACAGACACUGCCCUCCAAAUCAUCUGUAUCAUAUGGAUCUAAUGCAAGAACUUUGCAUGGCCUUUAAAUCUGGGAUGUUCCACUUACCAUUCUUCUGUCACCAAUUCUUCUAUCAUUAGUUCUACAUUCUCAUGAAUUAUGCUUUUUGCUUUUUUUUUUUUUCCCCUGAAAAAAGCUUUGCAUUAUUAGGAAUUCAAGAGAUUAGGUUUUGCUACAGCAACAUGCAGAUCUCAGAACUUAACAAACCCUUAGCAUUACAUGCACUUUUCUCCUGCCCCUAAUGGUAAUGAGAAGCAUUUUCUGGGCUAGGAAAUACCCUCAUUAUUUCAUGACAAGGUGAUACUAGGCCUGUAUCCUCUUGUUUGAUUAAAUGCUAAUCACAGGGUCAAAAAAUAAUAAUCCUUUGAUAUUUUAGUCAAUUGUAGUAGUACUGAGAAGCACUCUCUUCCUGCCUAUAGACAUCGAAAAAUACAUUUAACCUUGGAAAAACAUGAUUCAUGCUAUUUUCUUCACUGAAGGAAAAGGAGUGGGCUUUUUUGGGUACAAGCCUAUUCAGUGAAAGAUAACUUAGUCAACAGGGGUCAGCUCUGGCACUGAGAGAAGAUGAAAGAUUUUGAGAGAAUAUGUGAAAAAACCAGAUGGCUUUAACUAAAUUAAUGGAAAACAUAUUUUGUGUUUUACCCAGCCAUCAUGUGAUAAUCCUGACAUCCCAAACUGUUGUCACAGUCACACUCUCUCACUCUCUUAGCCUUCCACUUUGCUUUGUCAUUUACAGCAUUCAUGUGCUUGACUUCAAGCAACUGAUGCUGUUCACUGGUUACUUGGUUUGACAUUAAAAUAUCAUUAAAACUGGAAGAACAUUUAGAAAGUUGAAGGAUGGUACCCACUAAAAAUUCUCAGAGCACAGUGAAAGAUGUAAAGUGAAAGAUGUAAAGUGACUGAACUCUUGGAUUUACUUUGAAGAGGUCCUGUUCCCCUCUGUCUCUCCUUGCCCACCCUUGCUGAUGCUGCUUCCUCUGCACCUUUCUCAUGGAGGCUCCUUUCUUUUCACAUGAUUUAUUCAGAUGUCUUCAUCCUCAUCCUUCUCUAGUCCUCCUCCAGAAACAGCUGGAGACCCAGCAAUUACCUGUGCCUGCCUCCUUGCCUUAUCACCAGCUCAAAGCUUUCAAAUUAUUGUUGGUAAUGGCUGACCCCCAUCAUUUAAUUGUUGUAGUUUGUUUAUUUAAUUUUGUUAAGGAUUUGUUGAAGCUUGUUAGUGUGUUCUUGUUUCCCCCUGUUGAUUGUAUUGGUUUGGCCCCAGUUGUCAGUUAUGUAAACCCCUCCUAUUUUUCCUGAAUGUUCCCUGUCUGUCACCUCAGCCCUGCCCCUACCCCCCUAUCCAUCAUUGUAAACCCCACCCCUUCUUCCAGAGCCUUCUGUGUCAAUCAGUUAUCCCUCGAGGCCCCACUGCUUACUGGAUCUUGCUCCCUCCCUCUGUUUAUCCCUAUUGGUGUGGAGUUUGUGAUCCCCUCCCCUUACUCCUCCUCUCAAGAUUCCCCAUUGGUGUGCAGUGUGUGCUGUCCGCUGGAGAUCAGGCCAUACUUAACUCCCUGCACAGCAAUGCUCAGGGCUCUCUUGGACCUGAUCCCUUCCAGCGUGGGCCCCUCCUUUCCCUCACCUAAUAAAACCAUUGCUGGGACCCUCAA